rfam:Gossypium arboreum cultivar AKA8401 contig_2168_1, whole genome shotgun sequence.
AACCCAUGGUGAGGGCACCUUCUCAAUAAGUCUUUAUACCACUCCCAGGCAUCGUAAAGAGUUUUUAAAUCUAUUUGCACAAAAGAAGAGAUAUCAUUCCUCAACUU